CGGGCUGCGGUCAGUGCUGCCCACCACGGUGCACCUUCUGACGCUAGAAGCACUGUCGCGUACCAGAGUUCUCCUGCGACUAGAACACCUGUCCAUCGAGCAGCGCGCGGUGCAGGUCAACGUCACGAGGCUGCUGAAGGGCUUUCGGCUGAGCAACGUGCGACCGGUGACUCUGGCCGUAAACCAAUUCCUUCCUGGGCCCACGAGGCAACAGUGGCCAGUGCGUGGACAGCCACGACCCGAAGCGACCCGGGAGCCCCUGGCAGUGCCCGCCAUCACGAGACAAAGGCGAACCGGCGACACGCUGGUUACUCUGUCACCGGGCCAAAUAGUCAGCCUUAUUGCCAAUAUAGGAGAACGCGAACUCUCAGAUUAGGGGGAUGGUGCUA